UACGUAGGGGGCAAGCGUUGUCCGGAAUCAUUGGGCGUAAAGAGCGUGUAGGCGGUUCGGUAAGUCGGCUGUGAAAGUCCAGGGCUCAACCCUGGGAUGCCGGUCGAUACCUGCCGGACUAGAGUUCGGAAGAGGCGAGUGGAAUCCCGGGUGUAGCGGUGAAAUGCGCAGAUAGUCGGGAGGAACACCUAAUGGCGAAGGCAGCUCGCUGGGACGUUACUGACGCU
rnacentral:rRNA from 1 species